AUUUUAUUAACAUAAAAAAUGACUAGAAAUUAAAUAAAUCAUUUGUCACACAAGCGGAGCGGGAGCGGUUUGUACCGCGCAGUGAGUCUCAGAGGGAUCAUCACAAUCACAAUGUGACGGUCAGACGAUCCUCAACUUUAUUAAAACCGUCUGCAGCUCCGCACCUGUUUCACGCGAAAUAAAACUUCUUGUGGCAGCAGCAACAAUUUACAGAAUGUAAAAGGGAAAAUAAUAAAAAAGGAUGCUCUCUUUUCCCCAGGAUGCCUGCAGAGACAUUCAGAGGCCCGAUAACACGUGCAACCAGCUCAGGUCACACGCACGCGUCCGUUCGGUCACGUUGGAUAUGUUGGGCAGUUUGAGUGGCGGCGGAUUUGUUGACGUCACGCCCGCUCUGGCCAAUAGCUGCGGCCUGCUGACGACUUGGGGAGAGAGAACCUUGUGUCGCAGCUCAGGUGCGACCUCGGGCGGCGGCGCCGGGCCGGAGAGGAUGGGUAGCCUUAGGGGCAUCAAGACCCCAAAACGCGCCUCCGACCGAACAACAACGAGCUCACAAAGGCACAAGCUGCAAAAAAAAAAUAAAAAGCCCGGAUGACAUUUACCAGGAGUCUGGCGCCGAUGCUGCAGAAGGUACGUUGUUUGUAACGCGUGAGCGCGUCUACGGCCACACGGCCUUCACACCCACCCGACCUCCCUGUGCGCCUGUUUCUGCGGUUUCGACCCAUCAACGUUCGGAUAUGUGAGACCACGGCCGGUGGGCAGGUAGAACUAAGUGACCCAUUGCAGAACAUAUGGCCCACAGCUCCCUGCAGCCACCGGCAGUGAUCCACGGCGGUACGGUUGGUGCAGCAGGAUCACUUUUAAUCUAAUAAGCCCCAUGAUCCUUGCGUGUGGGGGGCUGCAUGCAGGGGCUCAGCCGUAGCGUCACAUGGCUGGCUGAGUGACGGGGCAUCGCUGAAAAGGCGCCGCACUGAUUCCCUCGGGCCAGCGGACUUUGACAAGUCGCUCAACAAGUCGCUGUUAGCGAAUCAGUUUUGAUUCCCCAGUUUGGUCAACGUUUUAUUCUCUGGGCUCUGCUGGUUGCAUCUCUGGCAUCAAGAGAACACGCAAUGCCAGAAGAAUCGCGGGCCUUUUAUAUGACAGGAGCCACAUGCGGGGUUAUGAAUUAUACAUAUGUCCCAACCGACUUAAGAACGCUGCCUCCCAGUUAAUCCGGCCUCCUGACUCCCCGCCGCCACCUAAGCGAAAAGACAAGACCUUGUUUGAGGCCAGUUUUGUUAAGUUUGCCGUUGUUGAUUUUUUUCCCUCCCCCUCCCCUCCCCACCUCUUCUUUUCUCCCUUUUGCAUGAAAGGAUGUUUGAUUUAGGUCCCGGCCGUUGUUUGAUUUGACGUGACAGUUGGCUUGGUUCUGAAUGGGCCGUGGAACAGCUUCAUUCCGCGAGGUGCCACCAUGUGGAAAAGGCCUCGCUGAAUGCUGCUUGUGUGUGUGCUUGUUAGGCUCCAGAGGAGGGGGGGCGGUCAGGGGCAAUCAGGCAGAAAGUGCCUCCGGUGACGAGACCCAUGAGCGAGAAGAGAACAAUCUCAGCCUUAGGGUUCCUUGCUGGAGCUCAUGGUGAGGAGUAAUUGGUCAAUCAGAUCUCCGACCUCAAGGCCCGUGAUGGCUGAUUGAAGGUGUGAUUUCCUUUUGGCCCGUCAAAGCCAGAGGGUCGCUCCCGCUGAGAGAGACCGUUCACGAUUGUCCCCAAGGUCUCAGAGGCCUCAGAGCUACGCGGCUAGCGGUGAACCACUUGUAACACGUAUUCGUCAUGGCGGUUUGCUGUCUCAACACGGCUCAGCUAAAGCAUCGCCCUGGAGUUUGGAUACAUUAAAGCUUGACAUGGUGCAAAUUCUAAACAGCUACUCCGAAGCAAAGUGAAAUUCCCUAAAAGCCUGUGUGGCAACCUCACUUCGCAAUGCCGACCCCGUAGCAGCGCUGCAGUUGUGCCGUUCUACUGCAUUGCAGCGUGGCAUUUGAGUGACAUUUGCGCUUCGGGCUCUUCUCGGUGAGCGAGAGGAACGAGGGCCGAGAAGGGGAGUGACGGAUCACCUUUUGAGGAGCGCCUGGUUCCCCGUGACUUGUUCGUACUACGGUGAGCACUCCGUAGUGCUUUGACCCGUUACUCUGGACGAUAGAUCGACGAUUGGCCCCCACAGAUAUCCGAGCUCUUGGUGCGGGAUAGUUCCCUCCUUAGGGGGUCUUGGACGGACUUUGAUACCGUUAUAUCAGUAGCACGUCACACGGGGGCCCCGGAGCCAAGCUUCCUGCCUUCCCGGAAAAUGGCACGGAGAUGGGAGACUUCCUAAGAAGCACCGUAGGGCCUUUUGCUCUCUCUGUUUUUCGGCGUCCCAUGGCGGAGCUGGAAAUAGGAGAGUGUGAAUGCAGGGGAGGGGGGGGGGGGGUGUUUAUCUUUGCCGCAGAUUUAAACUCCAAGUGUCAAACAGAAGAACAUCCAUUGUGGUCUGGUCCUACUCGCCUCCCCACCAGUCAAUAGAGGUUGUCCACUUGUCACCGAGGGACAAUGCGCCCCUUUGCCUCCCUUCCAUCUCCGUCGGGUCCGAGCAGCCAGACACUUUCCUGAAUGAGACCCAGUGAUUCUUGCGCACUUUUUUGUUUUUCUCAGCCUUUUUAUCGACGGGAAACACCAAUGGGGGUUUGGAAAAAGGUCUUGUUGUUGCGCCGGAGCAAAAGGCCACAUCCUGCUAUUCCCUCCACCACCCCCCCAAGUUGCAAAAGUCAAUGGGUCUCCCCAGACAAAGGAGAUUAAGUUUGGCAACGUGGCAGUAACAGGUGUACUCUGACUCUGCCCGGACCACCCGGGCGGUGGACUGCCGUGGUCUGAUCCGUCGCUCGGUUCCCCCCCCGUCCCGUCCCGUCGGUGCUUUGUGUUGACGGCAGGAACGCUACAGACGUCGUCCAUUUGUACGUUUAGUCGAGUCAGGAGUGCGUCUGCCACCGGCCUCUUCAUCAUCCAUCACUACGUCUCUCUGCUGCAACACUU